rnacentral:antisense_RNA from 1 species
CUCUAUGGCGGACGGUGCGUGGGGGCCUCGCGCCCGCCGGUUUGGUGGCUACCGUUCCCGGUAUUGCAACCACGCAUCGUCCGCCACCUUC